UACGAAGGGGGCUAGCGUUGCUCGGAAUCACUGGGCGUAAAGCGCACGUAGGCGGAUUCCUAAGUCGGGGGUGAAAUCCUGGAGCUCAACUCCAGAACUGCCUUCGAUACUGGGAAUCUUGAGUCCGGAAGAGGUGAGUGGAACUGCGAGUGUAGAGGUGAAAUUCGUAGAUAUUCGCAAGAACACCGGUGGCGAAGGCGGCUCACUGGCCCGGUACUGACGCUGAGGUGCGAAAGCGUGGGGAGCAAACAGG
rnacentral:rRNA from 1 species